rnacentral:lncRNA from 1 species
UCAGGACUUUAGAGGAUUGAUUUAGAAAUCUCUAACUAAUAUAUUUUAUGUAGCAUAUCAAUAACAUAUCAAUUAGAUGAUUAUCUUGUAAUUGUGCAGUAUAUAAGCACAGAGAGUUUUAUACUAUAAGUGUAUCAAUUUCAUAUUAACAAUAUCAUAUUUAUAACUUAGCAGCUUCAUUGAUAUUCAACAUCAUUGAGAGAGUAGUGAUUCCUACUAUAACAAUUUUUAUAUACCAAAAACUGAGCUUUUGAUUUUACAUAUUGUGUUCUUUAAAUCAAUUUGAUUGUAUCCACUAUAUUCAACCCCGCUCUAUAGCGGUUCUAGGCCUAACAUAGACAUUUGAUUAUCUCAAUACUCCAUUGAGAAUAAUCCGGCAGAUUGUAAGAUCAAGAAAUGUGACCAUUCUUCUUACAAUCUCGGAUGGCCUUCAAUAAGUAUCGUGAUCACCUCAUUCCCCACACGAAGAUAACCUGACAGGAUACAAGAUUGAGAGUUGCAGAUCACGAUCAGAUGGGCUCCGAAACUAUGGUCUUUCAUGUUAUCCCACAAGGGGUCUUCUGUGUUAUCCCUUAGAGGGGUCUUUACAAAUCUUUACUUGGACACAUCCUUUCUAGUGGAAUGGCUCUUCUACACUCUUUCUUCUUCAUUUAAGCAUUUAACAGAAUGAACCUCUAAAGUCGCGUCUUUAGAAGACACCCUAUCUCCUCCCGCAUCUCUCUUCUUAGGCGCAUGAAUUUACCAGGCCGGCCAAAGAAAACUUGACCCUGAUGAUUGCAACAUAAAAACCUCACCUUCAUUUAAUCAUAGGACGCCCCACUCCCAAAGGUGAUUGAUUCUUCCUCCUUUGCUUCUAACUAGACUAAUUCUAGUCUUCUAGAUCUUUAAGUCACAAGUCCAGCUCAUUACAUAUUCAAUUAUUUGGCUUUCUUAUUAAUUAAAUAUUAAAAUAAUGAAGAUAUGUGUACCCAUAAUUCUAAAAAUCGUUGAUCUGACCAAUUAAUUGCAACAACG